CUCUCCUUGGAUGCGGUGGAAACAGUGUCUUGCCCAGCCACCAGGAUUAAUGCUUCCGCCGUCUGCGAUGGCGUGGAGAGGAACGACGUCGAAUGGCCUCCCAAUCUCACCCACCUGGUUUGUGACAAC